GAUGAACGCUGGCGGCGUGCCUAAUACAUGCAAGUCGAGCGAACAGACGAGGAGCUUGCUCCUCUGACGUUAGCGGCGGACGGGUGAGUAACACGUGGAUAACCUACCUAUAAGACUGGGAUAACUUCGGGAAACCGGAGCUAAUACCGGAUAAUAUAUUGAACCGCAUGGUUCAAUAGUGAAAGACGGUUUUGCUGUCACUUAUAGAUGGAUCCGCGCCGCAUUAGCUAGUUGGUAAGGUAACGGCUUACCAAGGCAACGAUGCGUAGCCGACCUGAGAGGGUGAUCGGCCACACUGGAACUGAGACACGGUCCAGACUCCUACGGGAGGCAGCAGUAGGGAAUCUUCCGCAAAGGGCGAAAGCCUGACGGAGCAACGCCGCGUGAGUGAUGAAGGUCUUCGGAUCGUAAAACUCUGUUAUUAGGGGAGAACAAAUGUGUAAGUAACUAUGCACGUCUUGACGGUACCUAAUCAGAAAGCCACGGCUAACUACGUG
rnacentral:rRNA from 1 species